GAGAACAAUUAAUCCCACAGAAUUCAAAAAUGCAGUUAUUGUACACAGGUAACAUUUCUUAUUUUGUUUUUGCCUGCUGAGGGGAAGAGGCAAGUCCAGAGAGGGCAAGUCUGUUUGAGUGCUUAUUAUGAAUUACAAACUAUACUGAGCUUUUAGUUUUCCCCUUUUGUUUAGUGAAAUAACUAAAAAUUUCCUGUGGUAACCAAGAUACAAGCCUGAUUUUAUUUAUGUUACCACUGGCUCAGCCUCAGCAUGGUUUCAUACGGAAACAGACCAUAUUACAGAGCCAGCUAGAAGGACAGGACCCUGCCUAUUCAUAUAAGAACAAAGCAGGAAGAUUGCUGUGCAGAAAAAAAAAUAUUAAAAAAAUCUUCAUCUGUCUGUGAAAAGGAAAAGCUGGAGUUUUGGCCACCAGAGACUGAAAUCAAGAAACUCCUGGAUCUUACUGUGUCUCCAUGUAAUAACCCAAAGGCUCCAAGGACAGAAUGGGGCUUUACUGAAGAAUCUCAGACUGAUUGAAUUUAUCCCAAAUGCAACUACUUAUCAGACAGGAAACAUGGCUGAAAAUAUAAAACAUUAUCAAAAUUCCCAGAAGAAACCACUGCUAAAAUGCAAAGCCAUAAGGAGGCUUGUGGAUUCACAAAGACCUUAAAACACAUCUGACAGCAGAGGGCAUCACAGAAUCCAAGACAGCUGUUGCUUUAAUGGCAGAACGUGCAAAAUGACUGUUGGCCUCAACCACCCUUGCAAAAGUGGUCUUAUAAGCCUAAGUGCAACACAGCCAUUGUGAGGGAGCAAUGAUUCUGUAACAGUGCUUGUGGACUCUUCAGACCCAAGGUAAGUCUGACUUCUCUUGUUCUGGAUUUCCCUUCAUCAAUUGCUCAGUUGUGGCAGCAUGGGCAGUGGGGAGGCCUUGCUGCUCCUACCCAGACCUGAGAUCUCAACCUGUAUUACUUAUUUCAUUUUCUUUUGUGAUACCUGUCAGCUCUAAGCUUUAUUGACAUACAUGCCAACAUGACCUAC